rnacentral:pre_miRNA from 14 species
AUUGGGGCCUCAGCGCUGGUGUCCAUCCGCUGUAACAGCAACUCCAUGUGGGAGGGGUCCGUGGUCCCCGUGGGGCUGCUGUUAUUCUGGACGGGCACCGGGAGCGACGGACAGAUGG